UUUUUUAUUGUGAAUUUAAUAUAUUAAUAAUAAUAUUAUUAUUAAAAAUUUAAAGUUAAACUUAAAACUGUAUAUCUAACUCUAUCUAAGCCUACAGGCUACAGUAACUAAGUCAGCCAUGCACCAUCCUGGAAAGGAGCCUCUCCCGUCUGUCUGUGUAAUUAACCCUGAUCCUCUCUUUCCAAGUUAUUACAAUAUCUUGUAAUUGUGAUGAACUUUGACCAAGAAAGUGUUUUAAAAAAUUAGCUUAGGAUAUUUAAAAGUCUUUAUUUUAAUAUAGUGUGAUUAGAAUGUACUUAGAGUUUUAAAAUCAUGGGGUAAGUGUAGACUAUUAAAUAUAUAAUAAUAGUUACCUUGCAAGUACCGUACCUGAUAGGAAGUGACAAUAAUCAUACGGUUAUCAGCUAUAACUCACAAGUCUUAUUUAUUGUGGUAUUUUCAGGUGGAACUGAAUUCCUUUAGUGAUAGCAGAAUAACAGGAGAUUCAAUCACGAUACUUAUUUCAAAGUAAUUUUGAGUAAAUGAUAAAGAAAUUAAAAGACUGGAUAUGGUUGCACAAGGCUCCAAUAAAAAAAUCUUUAUUUAAGACACAAGCACUGUUUAUAUUUAUGCCUUUUACUGGAGAUCUAGAUACAGACUGUUUUUCUUUCAAGACCUAUUCUGUUCCAUAUUUACUAAACCUCAUAUUACUUAGUAACGUCAGGCUUCCCUAGAGUGUCUUAUGCUACCCAUGUGACUUGUAGUUACAAUCAGAAAGGAAGGGAGAUAGUAACCUCGAGAUUUCACACACAAGGUAAAGUUUUACAUCUAUUUUCCUACUGGCAGACCGUGUUAUCUCUGGGGGAUGACACAGAACAAUAGGUAGCUAAAGUGAAAUUAACUUAAUGACUUUCUUGACAAUGUAAUAUGUGUAAACUGCAUAUACAUCCAAAACAAUUAUCUACUGUUUCAUGGAAUAGUAAUACUGUGUUCUACUUUUUGUUGUGUAUAAGGAUUUGUGAUCCAAAUCAUUCUGAUUGGCCAGCUACAGAAAUAAUAUGAGAUUGGUUUUUAUCAUGAAGGAACAAAGAUGUGCUGUAGGAGUCUGGACCUUGUUUUAACUUUUACCAGUAUGCUGAUCAUGUAGUUUACCUUUUCCUUUUAGUCAAGCAGCUGCUUCAUUUUAGUCUAUUCUUAAGUAAAGUUUUACUUUUUGUUUAAUUCACCAGUUUCAUUUUUUGAAUAGUUUAUUCAAUCCAUAGAGCAAUGAACCAAAUGAUCAGUAAUUCUUUCAUUUACUAAUAAACUUUUUUUUUACUCUGA